UACGAAGGGUGCAAGCGUUACUCGGAAUUACUGGGCGUAAAGCGUGCGUAGGUGGUUUGUUAAGUCUGUUGUGAAAGCCCCGGGCUCAACCUGGGAACUGCAAUGGAAACUGGCGGGCUUGAGUGUGGCAGAGGGGGGUGGAAUUCCGCGUGUAGCAGUGAAAUGCGUAGAGAUGCGGAGGAACACCGAUGGCGAAGGCAGCCCCUGGGCCAACACUGACGCUCAGGCACGAAAGCGUGGGGAGCAAACAGG
rnacentral:rRNA from 1 species